GUAUAAAGGAUUUACCUUGUCUGUUUUGAUCUAUGUUCAUCUUAUCAAAAGGGGUACACAGACCAAACUUCUUCCUGAGAUGCAUUAACAUAUACUAGUAUAUGAUCAUUUCAAAGCAUGCUUUGCAUGCUGCUUCUGACUUAAAUUACAUAAGUCUGUGAUUCAUAAGCACAGUAUCUAUAUCUUUUUAUUUCAAGGGGUUUACAAAGUAAAUUUCUUCAGUGCAUCACUGGCUGCUCUGUUCAGUGCAUUACAUGUAGUAAAAAAAAUCUGCCACCUUUUCAGGAAUGCCCCAUACUAUACACUGUUGCCAUUAGGAGACAAGUCGUUAGUAAUUCUUCGGUUACUUUUAUAAAACAAAUUCCCUUAACCAUUUCUGUGCCACAGGGCCUAUUUGGGCCUAUUUGAAUAUCUACGUUAAGUGCCACAGGGCCUAUUUGGGCCUAUUUGAAUAUCUACGUUAAGUGCCACAGGGCCUAUUUGGGCCUAUUUGAAUAUCUACGUUAAGUGCCACAGGGCCUAUUUGGGCCUAUGGCAAUUUGAAAAAAUAUACAUUAAAAUAAAAAAAAAUAUUAAAUAU
rnacentral:sRNA from 1 species